GUGUCUGAUCAUUAAAGUUAUUAUGAUAAUGUAUGUAUAAAUUGGUGGUGGACAUUGGGUCACAUUGGUCUAAUAUGGAAAAGGCAUGGGCUUGGCUUCCAAGGAAUAGCCUUGAGUAUGAGAUUGGAGCAAAAAAUUUUGUGUAUGUAGCAUCAAGUAGUAUUGAUAAUCCUGCAGAGAUUCUCUGUCCAUGUGUCGAUUGUCGGAAUGUUUGCCAUCAGCUGCUAGAUACUGUAGUGGAUCAUAUUGUGAUGAGAGGUAUGGAUUUGAAGUACAAGAGGAAUCAUGUUGGUUUAAUCAUGGGGACAGGAGAGAGAGAACAUCUGGAGAUGUUCUAACUUCAGAGGAAGAGGCUUAUGACUUGAUAAGGACAGCUUAUUUUGAGUCUGAAGUUGGUGAUGAACAUCCAUCUGAGGCGUAUACUACAGAAGAAGCAGAGUUUAGGGAAAAGUUAGAGGAUGCUGAAACUGCACUAUACUCAACUUGUCACAAGUAUAACAAGGUUUCUGCAAUAAAGGUUCUUUACAACAUCAAAGUGAAGAUUGGGAUGUCAGAGAACUUCUUUGAUCAGCUAUUGACGACUUAUUGUUAGAAAAAAUCUGAUAAUGUGGGAGCUCAAUCUGGUGUAAGUCAUGUUAGUGGAGGAGUUAGGUGUCAGCUGCUAGAUUGGAUUGCAGAUGAAGAUAUCGUUAUCGGUGAAGGAGAAUUCUGCUCUUUUGAUCCACUAUACAAGAUUGGUCGCAUUCCACUUGGUCCUAAUGCUGCAACUGUUAUUGUGAAAUCUGUAAUACACACAAGCUCACAGUUGUGGAGGCCUACACAAAACAUUGUCACACUUGGGGAAGCUGUGGGACUCAAAAUUCCAUGGCAAGGUGAUAAGGUGAUUUUGGAUGAAGACAUCUCAACAAGUCCGAACAUAACUUCUCGUUCCAAGGAUACCAUAUCAGCUGAGUCACUUCAAAGAUGCAAACUUUUUGAUUGGAAUUCUGAUGAUGGUGAAUGUAUUGCUGAGGGUGUUUUGUGAUCCACUGAUCCGAAACAAAUGAUAAACAACAUUCCUAUUGGUAUGAAUGCUUGCAUUGUGAAAAUUGAUCUUGUUCUGAGGGAUGCGUCUUAUCUGUGGAGACCAACAUCUGAACUCCAUGUGAUGGCUGAUGCACAUUAUAGAGAAAUCCAAUGGCCACUUACUAAGAUAAAACGCAUCAGUUGGAAUGCAGAGGUGCCUUCAGUCAGAAGCUCGCCUGGGAAUGCAAGUUCAAACUCUGGUUCCAGCAAAGGGAAAAACAAGUAGUGCUUCCUGUUGGAUUGCAAAAAUUCUGAAAAGACAGUUGCAGAGAGUCGAGUGUGUUCAACUGAUCCUGCAGAGACAGUCCAUAACAGACCCUUAGGACCAAAUGCUUGCAAGGUCUGGGUUGAUGUUUCAAUGAUUGAUAAUGCUAAAGUGUGGAGGCCAAAUUCAGAAGUGUAAUUCAUCGCAGAUGCACAAGGCACAACUGUUGCUUGGCCUAAUGACAAGAUAGUCUAUCUUUGAAAUUCUUAAGUACUGAUGCAGGGAGCAUCUAGAAGCUUUCCUCUUUACUCUGCUUCCUUUUUUCCUCUGUUUUAACAUAUCAGUUUUUACAUUAUAAUUAUGUAUUACUUCCUUUGCUGUUUAGUUAAGUUUCUUCUUUUCUAAGUUAGAAUAGGCUUUGUAUUCUCUAUAUAAGAGAAUGACCUAUUACGA